GAAUAUCCAUUGUCUGAAACUCGAGACUCGCGAGAGGGAUUGCCAAGCUUUUUUCUAAUGGCGUUUAUGAGAGGAGAGCCAUUGGUGGCGAAGCUAGCAUUGCUGGCAAGAUAUGGAAUUCUUCCAGGGGCCAUGGCGGCUGCUUUGAUCUUCUCCCCGCCGCAGGACCCUAACAAGAAGAACGAUUCUGCUUCCAAAUAGAACUUCUUCUCUUUCAAAGAAAAAAUUCAACCAUCAUGAUGUGUGUGCUGAACAUGUGGAGGUCUACAAGAUUGCUGGGGCUUGCAAUAAUUCUUCUCCUUAAAUACAUUUUUUUGUUUAACCCAAAUGUUCAUGGAUAGAUUCCAGUAUAGUCUUUAAUACCUGGACUUGAAUUUUUCAUUGAAUAAAUGGAUAGUUUGUUCUGUUACUGCAUCAUGAACAAGUGCAAGAUGGUCUAGAUCUAACCCAUCAAGAAUUUGAGAUAGACAAGAAAUGUGAAUCUUGCUGCCAUUCA